rnacentral:tRNA from 1 species
UAAGUGAACGCCAAAGGCACCUAUUUGUUAAUUAGGACGCUGUUAUUUCAUAACUCACUUAG